rnacentral:rRNA from 1 species
UACGUAGGGUGCAAGCGUUAAUCGGAAUUACUGGGCGUAAAGCGUGCGCAGGCGGUGAUGUAAGACAGAUGUGAAAUCCCCGGGCUCAACCUGGGAACUGCAUUUGUGACUGCAUCGCUGGAGUGCGGCAGAGGGGGAUGGAAUUCCGCGUGUAGCAGUGAAAUGCGUAGAUAUGCGGAGGAACACCGAUGGCGAAGGCAAUCCCCUGGGCCUGCACUGACGCUCAUGCACGAAAGCGUGGGGAGCAAACGGG